rnacentral:tRNA from 1 species
AGGGCCUAAGUUUUAUAAUUCUACCCUUGCACGGUAGAGAAGUCCCUUUGGGACAGGUCUUA